rnacentral:rRNA from 1 species
AUGCUGAGGACUCUAGAGAGACUGCCGUCGUAAGAUGUGAGGAAGGUGGGGAUGACGUCAAAUCAGCACGGCCCUUACGUCCGGGGCUACACACGUGUUACAAUGGGGGGUACAGAAGGCAGCUAGCGGGUGACCGUAUGCUAAUCCCAAAAGCCUCUCUCAGUUCGGAUCGAAGUCUGCAACCCGACUUCGUGAAGCUGGAUUCGCUAGUAAUCGCGCAUCAGCCACGGCGCGGUGAAUACGUUCCCGGGCCUUGUACACACCGCCCGUCAAGCCAUGGGAGCCGGGGGUACCUGAAGUACGUAACCGCAAGGAUCGUCCUAGGGUAAAACUGGUGACUGGGGCUAAGUCGUAACAAGGUAGCCGUACCGGAAGGUGCGGCUGGAACACCUCCUUU